rnacentral:lncRNA from 1 species
AAAAAUUCAAUAAAAUAUAUCCAAAAACAUAACUUCAAACCCACAUCACCUUUUUGUUUUUCAGCCUCUUGAAACCCAACAUAAACCGUUUCAUUCCACGAUCCACCUCAUUUAGUUUUUAACCCAACGUAAUUCCUAAGCCCAACAACCACACGACAUCGUUUCGAUCUAAAUCAUUCAACUUCCCUCUUUACAACCUGAAACACCAGAAAAAAAAAAAAUUUGUUCGUUCGAGGAAGUUUGGAGACUUGGAAGAAGCUAAAUAUGAUAAUGAAUUCGAAGAAGAAUCUGACAACUGUUAAAACAGAAUGAGAGAGUUAGCAUAGUGCGUGACUUGUAAUUGGAUGCUGAGACGAAGACUGCGCUGUGGAGAGCACCUGGUGUGAGUGGGAAGGCUACGAUUAUGGGAGAAGGGGUUAAAGAGGCACUAAUGUUGCCUCAGCCAUUGGCUACGGUGGGGGCAUCCAUCUUGAGCUAUGGGACGUCAUACGGCAAAGAAUCUAACUCCACUCACGAGUUUGUCAAAGUCAUCCUUGAUCUCCAAGACGAUGAAACCAUCGUCCUCCGCAGCGUCGACCUGAAUACCGUCAUCAAGGCGGAGGCUGUAGCCAAGGGCAAGCAGUUACCGCCGGAGAAGGAGAUUGAAAGUUGAAAAGAUUAGUAGAGAGGAGGUUUACGAGUACUGUUAGCAAAUCUCUGAUUCUUGCAUGCAGAUCCUCUCUGACAUGUACGCAUAAUUAAUUUUCAGGUUUACUCUUUUAACUUUAUCAAAUUAAUUAUAAUUUUGAUAUCUUAAUCCAAAUUAGUCAAUUGUGGGUGAAGCUUUUUUCUUUUUCUUUUGGAGUCAUGGUUUUAUUUUAUUUUUUAUUUGGACAUAUAUAUAUAUAUAU